rnacentral:RNase_P_RNA from 1 species
ACCGCAGACCGCCUUAUCGCCGUCCUGAUUUAUCGGGAGGGAGGAAAGUCCGGACACCACAGAGAAGCAUAGCGGCUAACGGCCGUCGUCCCGAUGAAUCGGGAUAGGACAAGUGCAACAGAAAGCAGGUACAGGUAAUGCUGUAGUGAAACCAGGUAAACUCUAUGCGGUGAAAUUUCAAGUAUAUCGACUCUUAAGGGUGCUCGCCCGUUGUCGAAGGGUAGAAAGAUGGAUUCCGAUAGUAAUAUCGGGACUAGAUAAAUGAUAAGGCUCCAUUUAUUGGAGACAGAAUCCGGCUUAUAGGUCUGCUUUUUUA